rfam:Schistosoma mattheei strain Denwood, Zambia genome assembly, scaffold: SMTD_contig0011970
AUACAGCUGACGAGUCCCAAGUAGGACGAAACAUGCGUCCUGAAU